rnacentral:rRNA from 1 species
UGCCAGCCGCCGCGGUAAUACGGAGGGUGCGAGCGUUAAUCGGAAUUACUGGGCGUAAAGGGCGCGUAGGCGGUUCAGUUAGUCGGGUGUGAAAGCCCCGGGCUUAACCUGGGAAUUGCAUUCGAUACUGCUGGGCUUGAGUGUGGUAGAGGGGAGCGGAAUUCCCGGUGUAGCGGUGAAAUGCGUAGAUAUCGGGAGGAACAUCAGUGGCGAAGGCGGCUUCCUGGACCAACACUGACGCUGAGGCGCGAAAGCGUGGGGAGCAAACAGGAUUAGAUA